rnacentral:tRNA from 1 species
GCGUGGGUUGGCUCAGUGGUUAGAGCGUAGGUAUAGUAACCGAAAGGUCGCGGGAUCGAAUCCCGCUAGAGGCU